AGAUUUCUGAUGAGCCCUGGCCCAGUCCGCAGCUCACUCUGCACCUGGCUUAACCCCUUCCUGCCUGCAGGUCCUCGGAGUCCACCUUCAGUGGAAAAUCGCCAUGUCUAACUGCUGUAGAUAUCCCUGCACGCCAUCUGUCUAUUUGGACCGAAUCCUGUCGGGCCUGAGUGAGCUGACUUGUGCGAACAUCACUGCCCUUCGCUGAAAAGCUAUUUGUUAGUCCUAAAGGCCAGAAGGAUGCAUAUGCUCCAUUCGGUCAGCAAUGUGAUCAGAAUCCAUGGAAAGAGCACCAAGAAGCAGUGGGAAAGUAUGUUGGGUCAGAACUUGACCUACAUGGGAACAGGAACGGAGCCCGAGGGACAUGGUCGAGGUCAUGGGAAUGGAGGGAAGCAAACAGAAAGCCCUGGAUGUACCAACCCUGUUCCGUGCUAACAGACAUGGGAGGUAGAGAUAAGAGGAGGCGAGUGGAGCUAACCAGGAGAGAGAGAAUCCUGGAGAACCUGUAAGAUCCUGCUCCCGUGGGAUGUUCACCCCUUCACAGCCUAACAGAGCUCCUCGCGCUGGUCUAGACGCCCUUCCAGGACACACAAGAGCCAGAUGGAAAAGCCACUGACUAAAUUAAAACACACUAAUUGGGCAUUGAAUUUCUGCUGGAAAUGCCCCCUCCCAGCGUCACUGCUGAGGUACUGUGUGGGUGUCGGAUGUACGACUAAGAGGAAAUUCUUCCUUUCUGAACAAAUAAAUCAUUUGGAAC
ensembl:lincRNA Gm13049 uncharacterized LOC110323058